UAACCCAUUAACAUUCCCGGGGAGUUCGCCGCAAGGUGAAACUCAAAGGAAUUGAGGGGGCCCGCACAAGCGGUGGAGCAUGUGGUUUAAUUGAAGUACGCGAAGAACCUUCCAGGUCUUGACAUAUAUGCAAAUUUAAGAGAUUAGACGUUCCCUUGGGGACAUGGAUACAGGUGGUGCAUGGUUGUCGUCAGCUCGUGCGUGAGAUGUUGGGUUAAGUCCCGCAACGAGCGCAACCCUUAUUAUCAGUUGCCAGCAUUAAGUUGGGCACUCUGGUGAGACUGCCGGUGACAAACCGGAGGAAGGUGGGGAUGACGUCAAAUCAUCAUGCCCCUUAUGACCUGGGCUACACACGUGCUACAAUGGAUGGUACAACGAGUUGCGAACUCGCGAGAGUAAGCUAAUCUCUUAAAGCCAUUCUCAGUUCGGAUUGUAGCUGCAACUCGCCUACAUGAAGUCGGAAUCGCUAGUAAUCGCGGAUCAGCAUGCCGCGGUGAAUACGUUCCCGGGCCUUGUACACACCGCCCGUCACACCAUGAGAGUUUGUAACACCCAAAGUCGGUGGGGUAACCUUUUAGGAACAGCCGCCUAAGGCGGGACAGAUGAUUAGGGGAAGUC
rnacentral:rRNA from 1 species